AAAAAUUGGAAGAGUAAGCACCCAGGCGGAUAUCCAUUUCUACAAGGCACCCAAUCUUAUAAAAUUUGUUCCAGUUUCCCUUACCUUCAUUAACAGGGAAAACUUCACAGAUUUGAAAGCGUAUCAAUUUGAAGGGAACAAACAAGCAACCGGACUAAGGAUGCUAGGUCAGCAAAAUCAAAAUGCUACCGAUACGCUAAAACAUUAUAUUGAUUGAACUCCACUCCUAAAAAGCUGUCCAACAUGAUGCAUUUACCACUUUCUUCCCUGUACGCCUCUGUUGUCUGUGCACACCACACCAGCUCCAAAGCCCAACCUUAUAUUUCUCUACGAGCUGGCUUCCUGCUCAGCAUCAUCGUGGAUCUCA
rnacentral:misc_RNA from 1 species